UACGGAGGGAGCUAGCGUUGUUCGGAAUUACUGGGCGUAAAGCGCGCGUAGGCGGCUAUUCAAGUCAGAGGUGAAAGCCUGGAGCUCAACUCCAGAACUGCCUUUGAAACUAGAUAGCUAGAAUCUUGGAGAGGCGAGUGGAAUUCCGAGUGUAGAGGUGAAAUUCGUAGAUAUUCGGAAGAACACCAGUGGCGAAGGCGACUCGCUGGACAAGUAUUGACGCUGAGGUGCGAAAGCGUGGGGAGCAAACAGG
rnacentral:rRNA from 1 species